rnacentral:lncRNA from 1 species
CUUGUGAUUUACGUUAUCCUUAUAACUUUAGCCUGCUGCUUGAAUAUAUGUCCUUGACUUUUUGUUUCCUCAGUAGCCCCUCUUAACUCUUUAACUGAAUAUUUAGCCUUCUCCUGCAAAAAUAAAAUAAAAAUUAACCUGAUUUUAUUUCUUAUACGGACUAGAGAAUUGGUUCAAAAUAUAUAAAAUAACUUAACUUCUAUACACUGAUUUUAUGAAAAAAAUUAAUCACCUAAAUGUUAAAUGACAUAUAGUCGUCCAUAAUAAAUGAUAGUGUGAAAAAUCUUCACUAUCUGUGCAUAUAGGUUGAACAAAUCAUCAGAUUAUAGUAGAGAAGAUCAUAUGCAGAUUUGACCUGAAGUGAAAUUUAUGAAAUGGGUAAGAAACAAAUCUUUGACUUUGAAGCAAAAGGAGCAGUUGGAGCAGUAAAAUCAAGCAAAAGAAGUAGAUAAGACAGGUAAAAAAUAAAUAAUGUUAAUUUGAUCUUUGAAUAGUUGAGAAGUGAAUAGUUACCCAAAAAACUUCAAGAUUUGGUUUCUAACAAACAUAAGAAGAGAGCUGGAAAUUUUCACUUAAAAUGAGUAGAAGAAAGUGUAGAAGAAGCUUGAAUAGAAGUGAAACCAAAUAAUCCAAGAUUUGAUUUUUUAGAAAAAGAGCAAGGCCAGGAAAAAGCAAACAAAAGCAGUUCAAAAUUAUCUUUUUAAGAAAACAGAGAAGAGCAAAACGAAACCUUUUUAUAGAAACCACUUUGCUGGAAAAUGCGAGUCUUGAAAAUGUGUUUGGUCGACGAGAAAAGCAAAAGGAAUGAAGGAGAG